rnacentral:sRNA from 1 species
GAUGAGAAGCUUCGAUUAAGGUUCGACUCGAGCGGAAGCGAGAGAACGUUGCCAACGGCAACGGCCCGAAGGGCGCGACGCGCCGAGUCAUCCUUCCCCCACCAUAA